UGGGUCUGCAGACGGCUCAUUAAAUCGGCAGCAAUCUACGCGGGGAAGGUGCCUUCGUGCCCAGGUGGAUAACAAUGGUAACUCCAUUGCUAAUACAUGUCCGAAAAAUCCAACUCACACUCCACCGGUGAGGGAAACCGAGCCGGGUGAGGUGGAUGCAGUUGACCGAACAAAGAAUUUAACGCUAGCAAUAGCAGCGGUUUGUGGAUGAAACAGGUCAACCGAGCGAUAGCACACGCCCUCGAGGCGGUGCAAGCCCGCAAGAGCUUCUGCCCUAUCAGCUUUUGACGGUAGUGUAGUGGACUACCGUGGCUUUUACGGGUAACGGGGAAUUAGGGUUCGAUUCCGGAGAGGGAGCCUGAGAAACGGCUACCACAUCUAAGGAUGGCAGCAGGCGCGCAAAUUGCCCAAUAGCAACACUGCUGAGGCAGCGAAGAGAAAUAGCAGCCCCCAGCUCAUAGAGUUGCGGGACUGCAAUGGACGAUAUCUAAACCUGUCGGUGAGUAACAAUUGGUGGACAAGUCUGGUGCCAGCACCCGCGGUAAUUCCAGCACCAAUAGCGUAUAUUAAUGCUGUUGCUGUUAAAAAGCUCGUAGUUGGAUCCAGAGCACAGGUUGAAAGGCGGCCUAACAGGAUCUGACUAGCGUACUGCUAGAAAAGUUUCGGCUAGGGUAAACCCCUUUCACCAAGACCUGUGGCUCUAUGAACGGUGGUAAUGGUGCCUCGCGAGUAUGGCCAUUCAUUUUGGGUGGAAAGCACUUUACGCGUAGACCAUACGCUUCACGGGUCGACCACCCGAAUGUUACUGUGAACAAACCAGCGUGCCCCAAAGCAAGGCGUUUGCCGUGAAUGAUUAAAGCAUGGAAUAACAGGGAUCGAUUCUCCUCGGGAACUUUUUGUUGGUUCUUUGAAGCCGAGCGGAAAUAACACAAGCGGGGCUCUAAUCAGGUAUCUUCGGAUGCCUGCUGCAGACCUCGCCAAACGGGAUCAUAGGGACUGCCGGGGUUCGUACGUACUUCCACGUCAGAGGUGAAAUUUCUUAAGAUUCGUGGGAAAGACGAACUUCUGCGAAAAGCCAUUUCGACAAGAAAUGUUCUUCAUUAAUCAAGAACGAGAGUGUGGGGAUCGAAGAUGAUCAGAUCCCGUUGUAGUCCACUACUGUAAACGAUGCCGUCUCAGGAUCGAGAGAUGUUCUCUAAUGGCUCUCACGGCACUAACCCGUGAAACGAGAAAUCAAAGAUUAUGGGUUCAGGGGGAGUACAUUCGCAAGGCUGAAACUUAAAGGAAUUGACGGAAUGACACCACCAGGCGUGGAGUAUGCGGCUUAAUUUGACUCAACACGGGGAAUUUUACUAGGUCAGGACAGUGUAAGGAUUGACAGAUUGAGAGCUCUUUCUCGAUCCAUUGUGUGGUGGUGCAUGGCCGCUCCUGGUUGGUGGAGUGAUUUGUCUGGUUGAUUCCGUUAACGAACGAGAUCUCGACCCUUAAAUAGGUAUGCCUGUCGCUUAGGACUUUAGCGUGUGCUUCGGCGCAUUGCUUAGUCUAAGACGAGCAACUACUUCUUAAGGGGACUGCGUGCGUUUUUAGCACGCGGAAGAGCGAGCCAAUAGCAGGUCUGUGAUGCUCCUAAAUGUCCUAGGCUGCACGCGCACUACACUGACGCAUUAAACGAGUUUGAUUGCCUUUUGGCAACCUAUCUUGAAGAGGAUGGGAAAUCUUUUGAACUUGCGUCGUGAUGAGGAU
rnacentral:rRNA from 1 species